rnacentral:lncRNA from 1 species
UUCUGUUUAAAAAGAAAUAAUAGCUGAUGGAAACUACUGGUCUAUUUUAUACAUUCAACGACUGAGUUUGCAAACAAAAUGCGGCCAAGUACAGUAGAUGGCUUUUCAUUUUCGGUUGAAACCGGGUAACCAGGUAAAAAGUUCUCAUAAAUCCUCAUCGGUCUAAGAGCAGUUCGUCACGCAAACAACAUCGACUCGUGACUGUACCAACCUCUUAUGAAAGCAACGAUCAGAUGCGCAGCGCCGAUGCGCAGCUGCGCGUGUUAGCGCGGAAAUUGAAUUACCUUUGUGCGAGUGCUGCGAUAAAAGCGAGGCCAAAUUGUACCAUCUUGCAAACGCUUCCAAUUAAAUGUAGCUAUGAACUGCAGUCUAACGGAACAAAGGACCUCAAUAGCGAAACUUCUCUUGGUUUUGUUCUAAAUGUCAUAGGUUAUCGAUGAAGUAGUUUUGUUGGAAAUUUGCUGGUUAUAAAUCAGUACUUACACUACCCGAAGCAAUAACAUUGUUGAGAUGUCGAUAAUUUAGGAAAUGCAUGGUAUGAAACAUUCUUGCAGGCCAAUGAAACGACGCAAAACAGAUUUAAAGUGGCGUAUUAUUCUGAAGCUUUUUGCAAUUUAAAACGAGCCCACGUUAGAAACGUCGAAAGGAAGAGGAUCAGUAUUCGGAAGUGAAAAAACCGCUAUAGCAUUUUGAUAUUUAUUCAGUCGAAUCUUGAACGAAACGAGUCGUAGCAUUGUGCUCAGAAUUUUUAUGGAAAGGCAGUGGCGAAUUCAUGAAUACGUGCUUCCUGUUCAAGAUUUAGUGGUAUCAAAGAUGCACGCUUCCGCCUACGUUCAAUAAAAGUCUUCAAAACAUUCGCACGCUAUUUAAUCAAGCUAACCCUGCUGUUCAUUCUUAAUAGCAAACGCGAUAUUAAGCUGUUUGUCUCUUUGAUGAUACCGUUCCCUUCGGAAGCUUGUGAGAUGAAACUUGAGAAGCACAUUAGCACAGAGUUGUUAGGACAAAAUGUAAAACUUUCUAAAGGUAAAAUUGUGUGCGUCCCCGCGCGCUGGAAGUGAAACUUCCGUGUUUUUAUGGAUAGGAAUUUGAAGUCUUUAAAUUUUAGGAUUUGAAAGUAAAUGUGGUUUCUUCACGUACAUUAUUUCUUAUCUAAACCUUGCACGCGAUGGUAUAAUUUUUAUACUAAUUAGUAACUCAAAGUGAAGUUUCAUCUUCACUCGGUAUUAUUUUUAAGAAAGAUUACGGCAAGAAGAAAAGAAUAUUGUAGUUCUAAAACGAUGCGUGAAAGAACAAACGCAUGAAAGAAAGAAAAGAAAGUAAAGACGCACGAAGGGGAAGGUAAAAACAAAUGAAAAGCAGUCGGAAGAGAUGAACAGUAAGUCUACUUGGUGUCUGAGUGAGGACGACCCUCGGUGAAAAUGCAAUUUCGGUUCUUGUCUGGAGACGACGUCGCUACUGUGGCUUCGUACUCCCUUCAAGAUUGUUGAGGACACAGCCUCUCGUGCACACAGAAGUUCUCUCCGACGUGUUCCAGGAGAUGAAAGGCUCCCGUGGCUAUCAAAGGGAAAGGGAAGUAGAGUGCACUGAGGAUGCCAGGAAUAAAUGAACCAGGAAAAAACAUAUUACUUACGGAGAAUCGCAUCGUCUUAUUUAAACGAUUACGAAACGAAGAAAGAAGGCGGUUCUAAAUUUGUAUCGGUUCAGUUUGCAUCCUCGUUCGCGAGGUGAACGCUCUGGCCAGCGACAUCUCAUUGAAGAGCCUUCUUCGGCAACGAGAACCGGAACAAGGUGCCCGAUGAAUUUUCUACAAGCUCCUCGUGCACGUUGCCAAUGAUUCAGCGUUCUUGAUCAGUUUUCACGAGAGUGAGAGAGAAAGACGCAGUGCACGUGCUAUGUUUUACAUUCUGCUUUUUUUUAUCCGAGAACUUUCGAAGUUGGACUUCUAACUAAGGCCAUAGUUACAGUUCCUGAUAAACUGACAUUGUGACGAAUACGGUAUAAGCAAAUAAAGAUUGGUUAUCUUUUACAUGAUGUAUACGUUAGAAUAUCUGUAACUAUAGUUCGAUGCUUGUGACGCACCGUAUGUGUCAUAUACACUUUGUAUUAGUAGUAGGAAAUUACCAUUAGACCCUAGGUUGUUCCCUCGAAAUUGAAAAAUUUGCUUGCUCUGCACAGGUAUGCCAUUGUGAAAAAUUUCGUUAAAUAGAACAAUUUAGAUUGCUGGUAUAUUUCUUGGAAAGCAAUUAGCUUUACAAAAUCCAGUCGCGUAUUCGAUGGUUGUAUAGGCGCGAACCAGACAUAAUAAGGCAUUUGUAUGUCCAUCGUGAUUUUGAUAGCAAAGGUCCCGUCCUCUCUAGGUACAUUUUUAAAUCAAGGAUCCAGAAUGUCGAGAAGGUCGACUAACUCUGAACGUGUAUUUUUUUUAUGUAG